UUGACCUACGGGAGGCAGCAGUCGGGAAUAUUGCGCAAUGGAGGAAACUCUGACGCAGUGACGCCGCGUAUAGGACGAAGGUCUUCGGAUUGUAAACUAUUGUCGUUAGGGAAGAGAAAGGACAGUACCUAAGGAGGAAGCUCCGGCUAAAUACGUGCCAGCAGCCGCGGUAAUACGUAUGGUGCAAGCGUUAUCCGGAUUUACUGGGUGUAAAGGGAGCGCAGGCGGCGCGUUAAGCCUGGUGUGAAAGCCCGCGGCCCAACCGCGGGACUGCAUUGGGAACUGGCGCGCUGGAGUGCCGGAGG
rnacentral:rRNA from 1 species